GGUUGGUAUUCGAUUUCAGCUGGCUACAUGUAACCACACGAGUUAGCAGGUAUAUUUUAUCCGGGAAGGAAGACGAGAGUCGAAGAUACUUUACAGAGAAUUCCAACGUUGCUUCCAAAGUGGUUUUUGCUGCCUUUUCGCUGGACACAGUCAAUGGCUUUUCAACUUCAGAAACUACUGCAAGUUCUGGGGUAGUGGUAACGGAUGACUGCUCUGCUGGAGUAUCAGGUGCUGGAAUAGUGUCAGGCAAAGUUUGUGGAUUUAACACUUGGUUUUCAAGAGCAGGCCAUAGGUUUUCAAUCCAAGGAUCAACCACAAUCUCCAACCCAACUGCAUCAUCUGCCCAUCCAGACUUGUAAAACUGUUUUGCUCCAAGUUUUCGAAGUUGUUUCUCAACACUCUUGGGAUAGCCCAAAAAUGUUGUGUAGUUUGUAUCACCCAAACCAAGCAGAGCGUAUUCCAAAUGACACAAGUAAUCAUUGCCCAAGUUCUUUGAUCUAAUCUUCCUCCAAAAAAUGCCUGCAUUUUCAGGAGGAUCUCCAUCGCCAGUCCUUUAAAAAAAUUUUAAUUUGUGUUGCACUUUGCUGACAUGCACCAAAAUAGUGACAAAAAACUUACGAAGAUGUAAUGAUGAUGAGAAAUCUAUAUUCUUUCCAGGGCAUCUGAAAUAGUAAGUAAUAAGCAAAUACAAUUUUGCAACAAAACAUGUAAACAGUCUGAUAAUAAAACCUUUUCAACUGACUCGUCCAUGGACAUCAUUUCGACGUCGUAAUUGAACGAUUCAGCUUUUGUUUUAAUGUCCUCGGCAAUCGACUUUGAUUGUCCAGUUUGAGAACCAUAGAUUAAAAACAAAUUACAACGUUCAGGAGCCAUUUCCACUCUUUUUAAAAUUAUGUAACUGAUCAACACGACAACUGACACGUGGAAACAACAGGAUUUUCGUCUGCUUAUGUUUUCUAAGUCGUCUUGGUGUGGGAACCAGCUGGAACCAGAGAUAGUGAUAGGAAAUCAAACCUGACUCUUUCCAUGUGAUUUCGAAAAAAUAAAUCGGGAAAAAGACUUGUUUUAGUGGUGCUUGCCCCCAUAAGAAGCAUUUAAAAAGAGACAUCGAAAUCAGUGCAGGACCAUGGAAAACCAGUGACGGCCUGGCCGUCACUGGGUCUUAAUUCGGCAAUUUUUGGCUGCAGGCGUAUUACACAUCAAUACCAUCAAUAACGUAUGAAUGCCAGAUCCGCCUGUAAAAGCUUUCGCAUAAACUUCGACACAACGGCACGAAGUCUGAACCCCUUCUGAAGAAACGUGUGGAACGUUGAAAAGAGAGAACAAUUUUUCCCACUGCUUGGUCCAAAAAUGAUUCACCAUCCCUUCAAGAUCGGUUCUUUAUAUUCACAUAGAUGCACGUGAAUAGAUUUUAAAGUAGAUAAGUCACGAAGGACCACAUUGGAAGAAUGUAUAAUUUACAGAACAUCUACUUUGCCGGCUUAAACGAAAUUGUAAAAGCCACGCGAUCUUUCCUUUACGGGAUUCUUCGGCCAUAAGAUGCUGUCUCACAAAAAGGAGGCAAAGAAAUUCAGUUAAAGGAAAACUCUCGCUGGACGUCAAGUUUCUGGAAAAACGAUCAUGAAUUCAAAAGAAGAAUUGCAAUGAAAUUGGAAUUUCUUUUUAAUACCACUAUAGACAUGGGCAUUCUUGGAGCGACCUUUGGAUCACUAUGACGAUUUCACAAGUCCUUUGGCGAGCAUUUUGCGAAAUCGUACGGCACUUUAGCUGACCUGCGAACAUUUCCAUGUCUGGAUAUUCCGGACAGGUCUGACGGAUUUACGACGUUGUGUCGACUUGAAGCAAAGAUAUUAUUCAUUCCGAUUGAUAGUUUUUGGAUCAUCGGGUAGAAUGUCAUAUCUACCUGCCUUUGGCAAAGUCGCCGUUGCCGCUAUUAUGGCAAGUUUUCAAGGAUUUUGAACGGAAUCGCCCGAUAAAUCUUUAAGACACCGAUGUGCGUGAUAAUGGACAGUUUGUUGGGUCUUCUAGUCUGUGGUAGAAAUCGUUUUUUUGUUUUAAAAUAUCACCUUUUGUUUAAAAAUUUUAUAUCCAACCAAACCAAUAUAAAGCACCAAUUGAAUAGUGUUCUUUUUCGAUCCCCAUCAAAGGCAGCAUGGGUUGUUGAAUGGGGGUCGAUGGUUGAGCGAGAACAAGUGGAUACUGUGGCACUUUGAUGGAAAGGAUACCAGCAUAUUUUUUGUAUUGACGAUUCGCAGUUGAUCAAAGCCUCUUGUGUCCGAACCAAUGUUAGGUAAACGUCACUGUACUGCUCAUCCUGAUCUGUUUUUAUGACGUUGUUUGCCUUACCAAGCACUAUCACUAUAAUAAAUUUGAAUGAAUCUUGUUGUGUUAGAAUAAAGUAAGAUUACCCAAAAUUAAAAUAAACAUGUUUCAUUGGA
rnacentral:lncRNA from 1 species